rnacentral:misc_RNA from 1 species
UUUUUUUUUUUUUCUUUUUUAUAGAAGUUUUCCUGCCAAUACAGGUUUUUUACUCUGCCAGCACGGCCCUCAGCAAAUAAUCAAAAGACCCAGAUUCGAAGAUGUAUAAUCUCUGUUUUCUAAAAAUCAAAAAUAUUAUUUUAGGAUUUGUGGCGAAAGAAGCUGGUGAUGAUGAUCUCUGUGAUGUGGGAAGUGUGGGAGCACCUGCAGCAGCUCACACCCAUCACUCAGAAGAAGAAGAAUUGUUGGGUAACAGAGAGAGAGUUAGAGAUGAGCUUCGAUUGUUUUGGCGAAGAAGAAAAGUUGUGAACAGGUAGAGAGAAGUGUGAAAUUUGAGCACAGAGAAUGAGAGAGAGAGAAGGAGAGAUUCUUCCUUCCGAACGAAGGUGUGAUUGGUUUAUAAUAAGAAGUGGCACAGCCGAUGGGUGCUCCUUGGGGAGAAAGGACAUUGUCACUCCGUACUUACCAACAUGCCCCUCCCUUUUCAAUUUUCACAAUAUAUUUCUUCUGCUUUUUUUCUUACAUCAUUUAUUUUUUUAUAAAUGAAAAUGUAUUCAAUAAUUUUAAGCAAAAGGGCAAAAUAGAGAGAGAGGGAAAUAGUAUAUAGAUGAUGAGAUGCAUUUUAUAGAUGACAACGUCAACGAGGCGCAAGAGAGAAACAAAAGAAUUGUGUCAAAAUCAAAGUCGCUUUCCAAUUUACAUUGGAGAUGGUACAGUAAACCCACCCGUCUACUUCUCCACCAUGACUUGGUCCUCUCCACCAGCCCUCCGCCCCCACGUGGCUCGUUUUCCAACACGGAGGGCCCUUCUUUGUCUCCUGAUGCGGUCCCGCGGCCGGGUGAAUUUUGGAUUCUCUCACUUCUCAAACUCUGCAGUACGAAAGAGAACAGUUGUUGCCAUCGAAGGGACUGCGCGAUUUAUAGCUGAAAUAUGCAUAAACUAAUGGCCCAUAUCGUUGGUCGGUGACUCAAAAAUCUAAGCAAAAUUCAAAUGGCAAUUCCAUGGGCCAUGAGCACAAGUCUCCACUCGUGUCCUGAGACUAAUAUCAGAAGUGUUUCCAUCAUUUAUGUCACCCAUAUGCAUCAUUAAUGCCUUUUCAGCCUUCUUAUGCUUGAGGGCAAUUUCUGCCUGACACUAGUUGUGGCUUGUGGUGGAGAUUCACAUGACAACCACAAUUUGUGCAUUUUUAAGUUCCCUUACCUGCAGCACUAUUAU